ensembl:lncRNA
AUGCAGCCAUCGAUGGCCAGAAGGACAUCCUCUUGCAGAAUCGCUGACUGGUUGAGGUUGGCGGGGACCUCUGGAGGCCGUCUGGUUCAAUCCCUGCUCAGACAAGGCCACCCACAGCAGGGUGCCCAGGACCAUGUCCAGGCAGCUUUUGAAGAUGUCCUCCGGCACCCACAUAAAAAGAAAAUGGCUCCAGCCUCUCCGCACCUCCCCGCGGGUCCUGACGGCCAUGGGGGAGCUCCCCCGGAGCCUCCUCUGCUCCAGGCCGAGCAGCCCCAGCUCUCGCAGCCUCUCCUCACAGCACGGGGGCUCCGGGCCCGGCAGCACCCUGGGGGCCCCGGGCUGGGCUCUCCCCGCUGGGCCCAGGUCUCUCUGUGCUGGGGGACCCAGGACUGGUCCCAGCACUCCGGGUGCAGCCUCGUCAGUGCUGAGCAGAGGGGCAGGAUCCCCUCCCUUGAUCUGCAGGCAAUGCUUUGCCUAAUGCAGUCCUUUUUUUGCCCAAGGGUCCAUCACUGGCUCACAUUCACCUCAGUGCCCCCCAGAACCCCAGGUCUGUUUCUGCAGAGCCGCUUUCCAGCUGGGUGCCCCCAGCCUGUCCUGGUGCUGGGCCUGUUCCUCCCCAGGGGCAGGACUUUGGGCUUCUCCUCGUCGAGCUGCAGGUUUGUGUCAGCCCCCCUCUCCUGCCUGCCCAGGUCCCUCGGGAUGCCAGCACGACCCUCCGGCAUAUCCACCGCUCCCCCCAGCUGUGUGUCAUCUGCAGCCUUGCUGCGGGAGCGCUGUGCCCCAUCAUCCAGGCUAUUAAUAAAGGUGUUAAACAGACCUGCACCACCAGCAGCAUCCAUGCAGCAACAGGCUCCCAUUUUCCCUAGCCUUCCUUUUGUCACUGUUGCACUUACAGAAGCCCAUCCCAUAGCCUCUGACAUCCCUGUCCGGAUUCAAUUCCACCUGGGCUUUGGCUUUCCUAACUUCAUCCCUGGGUGCUCAAUCAUAUUCCCGUGUUCAUCGCAGGAAUACAGGAACCUGUCCCUGCUUUCACCCUCCGUGUGCUUCCCUUUCGUGUCAGAGCUUUGCGUUGAGGUUUUGGGGUUUUCUCCACACUACUGCACUUCCUCGCUUCUAUGCAAAUGCUGCGGGUGCCCCCGCUUAAACUUUGUUUUGUUGAUUUUAAUAUCCGUUUCUGGCAUAGGUCUCCAAGCUAUUUGCUUAUCAACCCCGUGCAUCGCUCCCUUGCAGGGGCUGGUAACUCUCCCUCACCUGUUAUUCCUAGUCCCAAGCCCUCCUUACCAGUAG